CCUCUACUCUCAAAUACCUCAGGCCACACCUGUGGAAGGAUUUGGGGCAAGAAACGGGUACCUUUUACUAGAUUUGUAUUCUGCGGAAACCCAGAUACAAGUUGGGCAUACAUAACCAUAAAAAAAAUUUACCUGAGGUCAACCGCAAUCUGGAAGCACAUGAUCCUUCCUCUGAUGAAUUAUUAGAAUUAUUAGACGGUCAAUAGUCACCUAACACGAUGCCUGCACCAUUCAGGUCACUUUAUCUCAUCAUAUAAGCAUUUUGCCAUCUCAUGUCAUCACAAAAAGAAGGGACAAUAAAUUGUCUUUGAAUCUUUCAUCUGGCAUUUCUGAGGGGGUCAGCGUUAUGUUGU